rnacentral:rRNA from 1 species
AAAAACAUGUCUUUUUGGUUAUUUAAUAUAAAGUCUAGCCUGCCCACUGAAUUUAAUUUUGAAGGGCCGCAGUAUUUUGACUGUGCAAAGGUAGCAUAAUCAUUAGUCUUUUAAUUGGAGGCUGGUAUGAAUGGUUGGAUGAGGUACAAGCUGUGUCAUAAAAAUUAACAUUUGAAUUUAACUUUUUAGUCAAAAGGCUAAAAUUAAAUUAAAAGACGAGAAGACCCUAUAGAGCUUUAUAUAAUAAUUAUUUAAUUUAUUAAGAUUUAUUAAAUUUAAUUAUUUGAUUAUAUUUUGUUGGGGUGACAGUAAAAUUUAAAAAACUUUUAUUAUUAAUUUACAUUUAUUUAUGAUUAAAUGAUCCAGUUUUAUUGAUUAUAAAUUUAAGUUACCUUAGGGAUAACAGCGUAAUUUUUUUUGAGAGUUCUUAUCGACAAAAAAGAUUGCGACCUCGAUGUUGGAUUAAGAGUAAUUUUGGGUGUAGAAGUUCAAAGUUUAAGUCUGUUCGACUUUUAAAUUCUUACAUGAUCUGAG